rnacentral:rRNA from 1 species
GAUGAACGCUAGCGGCAGGCCUAAACAUGCAAGUCGAGGGUAGAAUUAGCUUGCUAAUUUGAGACCGGCGCACGGGUGCGUAACGCGUAUGCAAUCUACCUUGUACAGGGGGAUAGCCCAGAGAAAUUUGGAUUAAUACUCCAUGGUAUAAUUGAAUCGCAUGGUUUGAUUAUUAAAGUUCCAACGGUACAAGAUGAGCAUGCGUCCCAUUAGCUAGUUGGUGUGGUAACGGCAUACCAAGGCGACGAUGGGUAGGGGUCCUGAGAGGGAGAUCCCCCACACUGGUACUGAGACACGGACCAGACUCCUACGGGAGGCAGCAGUGAGGAAUAUUGGUCAAUGGUCGGAAGACUGAACCAGCCAUGCCGCGUGCAGGAAGACGGUCCUAUGGAUUGUAAACUGCUUUUGUACGGGAAGAAACACUCCUUCGUGAAGGAGCUUGACGGUACCGUAAGAAUAAGGAUCGGCUAACUCCGUG